rnacentral:lncRNA from 12 species
GAUGACUUGGAGACACAGGAGAGGAAGCAUCUUUUGGAAAGAGUGAGUGGAGGGACUCAGGAUCAGGAAGUUACCCAAGAUGAAGCUGGGAAGAUUCCAAGGAUGCCAGACACAGUGGGCCACAGUUUUGGGGGCCUCCCAGAGGAUUGUUACCAGUUCCAAAUGUUCCACUGCCCUCUACUGGCAAUGCCUAGUGAAUGGUGAGAAAAGUCUCCAUGUUGGGUGUCCCUCCUGUCCGUGAGGGCAAUCCCACCCUGGGAGGAAAGCUGCGUGUCCUUCGGGCAGGAAGGAAAGAUGAUGCAGUGAAACAUGGAUGUUUGAAUGUUAACUUUGUAAGGAAAUAGUUGUCAGGAAAUCAGAAAGAGGAUGAAGGCUGUAUUUAGUGGAUGCACCUUGAAGCACCUCACAGGUCACUUCCUCAGCAGAGACCACCUCAGAGGUUUCAUAGAAGGGGAGAAGAGCCAGGCUGCCUUAGGAAAUGCUGCCUUCUGUGCUCCAUCCACCUCAGUCCUAACCCCCAAAUAAUAACUGCUUAUGGAGAGGACAAUUCUUGGAGCAUCCAGGAGUGCUUAGGGAGAAAGGGGAACAGCCAUUUGCAUUCCAAGAAGACUAGAAUCUACUAUGACAUGUAAGCACUCCCAGAGAAUUGUCGGAAAUACUUGGAAAAUGACUAUUUUCCUGUUCACUGUUGCGCCCAAGAUUGCGAAUCUGAGAAACCACCAAGGAGCCGACACCGAUGCAAACACAGGAGGAUUUAUUUACAAGCUCGAGCUUGGGUCCAAGUAUACCCGACACAGGGGAGCAGGGACUUGGACCCCGAGGUGGAUUUCAGCUUAGUUUUAUGGGCUGGUCUAGGGGACCCCCAGAAGGGGUGGAGGAAUUUCUCAAGUUCUGUUUACAUUCUGAUAUGGGGCUUUCAAGGGCAUUGAGCUCUGUUCUCAUUCUAAUAUGGGGCUUUCUAGGGCACUAAGCUGUAAGCUGUUUUCUUCCUGUAGCUGAAGUAAGGUAAAGUUCAGCUCUUAUUCACAGGGGCCUGGGAUGGCCGGACUUGUGCUAACACUGAACUUAAAGUGGAAUGGCCUUAAUUUUCUCGGCCUCCUCAUUCACGAGUUUGAAGUUUGGCUUAAUUUAUUUGUGUAUUAAGAAAAGGGCAUGCUUAAAAGCCCAGGUAAUUUGGAAACACUCAGAUUCUAUAUGAAAGUGGAUAAAAAUGGAGAUGCUCUGAUCAGAGGAAAAUUCUUGGCUUCCAUAAAGUGGUUCUCUGAACCCACAGAAUAUUAGCGCUAUUCCUGGUAUUUUGCAGAUGAUCAAUAAAGAUUGGCUAGUUGAAAGAUUAAACA